GUGGAAGCAGCUGUUUUACAGAGCGGAGCGGGCUCAAGGUUUCAUUUGUUGGAAGAGGAGAAGAGCGGGGGAAAGACGUUAGGACUGAAAAGAAAAGUACAAAAUAAGGUUUCCACGCAACCGAGGUGCACAACAUUAGCUGUUUCAAUGCUGACGAGUAGUGAAGACACAACGUUGUUAAUGAAACCUUCACUGUUUCCUUCCCUCGCUCCACACAGACCUCUGAGAGUCAGUGUGUGUCGCAGCUCGAUCAGGGAACAGAACGUGGGGAUCGGACUUUUGAAGGCAGACGGGACGACAGGGAGCGGCUGAAGAGGAAGAGGAGACAUGAGGAGAGAAGAGGAGGGGGUCCGCCUGCGUUUGGCUCAUCUGAUUGUAAGAUGAUGACCAGGAAGGCGCUACCCAGCUGUUACAUAAGGGAUAGGAGACACCCUGACAGCCAUUGUGUUUGUGUGUGUGUGUAACAAAGUACAAAGUAAGCAGCAGUCCCAUUUCUGUCUUGUUUCUUUGGUAACACAUAAGAAGGUUAGUUGCACUGACAUCUUUUCUUCAUGGAAAAAUUUGCUUGUGUUUCGCGUGUGUGUGUGUGUCUGUGCGUGUGUGAUUGUUAAAAGAAGAGACCAGAUUAUUGCUAAGAUGAUGAGGAACAUGUUGAGUGUGUGUGUAUGUGUGUGUGUGUGUGUGUGUGUCCUGGCUUUUAUUCCCCCUCCUUAGUCUGACCUAAUUUCACAUUCACAUGUAUAAACUAGUGACAUGUGAAUGUUGCGUUCAGGAGCUCAUAGGGAAAUCCUGAAAUAUACAUUUGUGUAACUU